GACGAACGCUGGCGGCGUGCUUAACACAUGCAAGUCGAACGGAUAUUCCCUGCUGUUGUCGUGUGCUCGAUUGGCGAACGGGUGAGUGACACGUGAGUAACCUCCCCGUUAAUUUGGCAUAACUUCAGGAAACUGGGGCUAAUACCGGUUCUGAUCUCCUGCUGCAUUGUGUGCGUUGGAAAGUUUCGGCGGAUGGGGAUUGCGUCGCGGCUUAUCAGCUUGUUGGUGGGGUAGUGGCUUACCAAGGGUUUGACGGGUAGCCGACAUGAGAGGGUCAACGGCGACAAUGGGACUGAGGUACGGCCCAGAAGCGAACGGGAGGCAGCAGUCGGGAGUAUGGCAGAAUGGGCGGAAGCCAGAUGCAGCGGCGCCGCGUGCGGGAUGACGGGCUGCGGGUUAUAAACCGCUUUCGCAGGUGACGAAGCGCGAGUGACGGUAAUGGGUAAGGAAGCAACGGCUAACUACGUG
rnacentral:rRNA from 1 species